AGGGGUGUAGUCCCGCCAUGGCGGGACGCUUGGUUCGGGACCAAGAGGUCCCCGGUUCAAAUCCGGGCACCCCGA
rnacentral:tRNA from 1 species